rnacentral:rRNA from 1 species
UUAAUACCGGAUAGAUCAAAGAUACUGGAAUGUUCUCUGGUCGAAAACUCCGGUGCCCAAGGAUGGGUCUGCGGCCUAUCAGGUAGUAGUGGGUGUAACGUACCUACUAGCCAGCGACGGGUAAGGGUUGUGAGAGCAAGAGCCCUGAGAUGGAUUCUGAGACAUGAAUCCAGGCCCUACGGGGUGCAGCAGGCGCGAAAACUUUACACUGCGGGAAACCGCGAUAAGGGGACCCCGAGUGCCAGCACCUAGUGCUGGCUGUCCAGCUGUCCAAAUAACAGUUGUUAGCAAGGGCCGGGCAAGACCGGUGCCAGCCGCCGCGGUAACACCGGCGGCCCGAGUGGUAGCCGUUAUUAUUGGGUUUAAAGGGUCCGUAGCCGGCCUGUUAAGUCUCUUGGGAAAUCUGGCGACUCAAUCGUCAGGCGUUCA